rnacentral:lncRNA from 1 species
GGAGGCCAACGUUCUCCGGACCCCGCCAGUUGACUGGUGCGGGGUGGGCUGGGGGUGGGCUGCCCACACACGAGCGAGCCACGCGCCCGAAGGGAGUGGCCAGGUGUGCAAACAGCUUCAGAACAAUCACUGACGUGGGACACCAUGGAGAGACUUCAUACGUCAGGUAGAAGGCUGGAACCGACAACAGCGAAGGCACCUCCUGACUGGGAGAUUCGGGAAAUUCCUCCGUGCUGGACCGCACCCGCCCUUGAGGACCUCCCGAUCUCUUUGGGCAGAACGGAAGCCAGACAGAGACGGGGACUGCGAAGUGACAAUCCCCAGCCCUGUAUGUGCCAGGAGCCCCUGAGGGGCAGGCGGCCAUGCGGCAGGAGGGCAG